GACGAACGCUGGCGGCGUGCUUAACACAUGCAAGUCGAACGCUGAAGCUCAGCUUUUGUUGGGUGGAUGAGUGGCGAACGGGUGAGUAACACGUGAGUAACCUGCCCCCUUCUUUGGGAUAACGCCCGGAAACGGGUGCUAAUACUGGAUAUUCACUGGUCUUCGCAUGGGGGUUGGUGGAAAGGGUUUUUCUGGUGGGGGAUGGGCUCGCGGCCUAUCAGCUUGUUGGUGGGGUGAUGGCCUACCAAGGCUUUGACGGGUAGCCGGCCUGAGAGGGUGACCGGUCACAUUGGGACUGAGAUACGGCCCAGACUAGGACGGGGGGCAGCAGUGGGGAAUAUUGCACAAUGGGCGCAAGCCUGAUGCAGCGACGCCGCGUGAGGGAUGGAGGCCUUCGGGUUGUGAACCUCUUUCGCUCAUGGUCAAGCCGCAACAAUGGUUGUGGUGAGGGUAGUGGGUAAAGAAGCGCCGGCUAACUACGUG
rnacentral:rRNA from 1 species